CCGACCCGAGACUCGCCCCCUGGGACUCACCUUACGACCGUCACCACGACGGUCACUACUCAUUCGCAUUGGACUGUACCCGUCCGCCCACCCACCGGCUUGGACACCUUAGAACGACCACGGCUCAUACCAAACGCGAGAACCUUCCCACCAGGGAAGGUGGGCUCAUAGCUCAGCGGUAGAGUGCCUCCCUUGCAAGGAGGAUGCCCUGGGUUCGAAUCCCAGUGAGUCCAUGUCCGUUCGAAGCGAAUCCGUCCCCUUAAGUGGGAGACGCGACUCGGUUCGAACACGACGACCGAUGCACCAUCCCGGGAAACCGCGGAUGGGAAGGGUUCGACGAACGCCCCGUCACACCCGGGGCGAUUCAAUGACAACCGUGUAUACGUGCGAUCCAGACGUCCACUGAACUCAUCCGAGUUCGUGGAACGUCAGUGAACCAUAUACAGUCGGGUGACACUAUGUCACUUGACCGUCAGUGACUCUCCUUCGAGAGUCGACUGACACACUACU
rnacentral:tRNA from 1 species